UACGGGGGGGGGCAAGCGUUGUUCGGAAUUACUGGGCGUAAAGGGGACGUAGGCGGCCAACUAAGUCCGACGUGAAAUCCCAAGGCUUAACCUUGGAACUGCGUCGGAUACUGGAUGGCUUGAAUUCGGGAGAGGGAUGCAGAAUUCCAGGUGUAGCGGUGAAAUGCGUAGAUAUCUGGAGGAAUACCGGUGGCGAAGGCGGCAUCCUGGACCGACAUUGACGCUGAAAGCCGAAAGCUAGGGGAGCAAACGGGG
rnacentral:rRNA from 1 species